UUGGCAUUAAUAUUAAGUUGGCUUCUUGAAAUUGCAUUGUGCUUGUUGAGUGUUUAAAUUGUAUAAUUGAUGUGACACCUUUAACCUUGUCACAACCCAACCCGAUGGGCCGUGACUAGUGCCCGUUUUGGACACCCAUAUACAAACCUGCUAAGUAUAACAAACUGAAACUAAGACAAUAUAGAAUUUAAUCAAAUCAAGCCAACCCCAACGUCGUAUAUAUAUAAGAGGACCUGUCUCAUAAGGAGUCAUAACCAUUCAACCAUAACAGCAUACGCGAGCUGACAAGGCCGCCACUAUUCCAAGCAUAAUAACAUACGUAAGCCGACAAGGCUGUCACUACACAAUACACAAUGAUGUACGCAGCCGAAAGGGCUGCCCUUGUACAAGCGGACAUCCCAAACAAACCAUGUCCACACCAUUAUCCAAAACAUAUAUAUACAACUCACAUAAUUUCCACAGACCUCUAAGAGUACAUUAGUGAAACUCGACGGGAAAGGGCCCCGCCAUACCCAUAGACGAGCAAAAGACUACACAAAAGUGAUGUACCAAAACGACUGGGCUCCGGAAUAGUGGAGCUCUCCCAAUCAGCAGAGUAGAUAUCCUAGGCGGGAGGAUCACCAAACUGUGCGUCUACACCUGUGGGCAUGAAACGCAGCCCCCCGAGGAAAGGGGGUCAGUACGGACAAUGUACUGAGAAUGUAAAGCAUAUGGUAAAGAUGACAGGAUACCAAUAUGGCAAGUCGAAACAAAAUAUCGCUACACAUGCACCCUUUUAAGUGAAAAUCAUGCAUAUCUUUAAAAUAUAAGGUGCCCAGCUUCCCUAGUAAGGGACUCGGCAAAAUAAUCAUCAUUUCAUCUCCGUCAUCAUCAUCAUCGUAACCAUCCUCAUCACCAAUCAUAUAUAUAAUAUACAUACCCGGCCCUCUAGUGAGGAACUCGGUGACAUAUGCAAGAAACUCCGUACGAACAUUACCCGGCCCGGGACUCGGUGAAAUGAUAAAUGACUCCAUGCACGAGCAGAAUAUUAUGAGCAACCAUAUGCAAUUAAAAUCAUUUCUUAUAACUCAAUAGAACAAUCAACAUGAACCAACAAGGAGUAUUACCAAAGAUUAAUGUUUUAUCAAGAUUAUGAACCUUUAAUACGAUAUGGAAAUGUAAAAUCUCAAUGACUCUAAGAAGCACUACCAUAGAUAUUAGAGAUCAUCAUAGCCUUAGACAUAGCCGAUAUAUAGAGGAAUAAUUGUGGAAGCAAGAAUAUACGUCACCUAGACGCUCUAGAGGUAAGUAUCAAACCUGUCCGUUAUUCUCUUAUUUUAAAAUGUCAUGCCAAACAAAGAAAGAAGGGACAACGUCACAUACCGUAUAAUCAAGCCGCACGUCCAAUAUUUACUACUCAAGCUAUUAAUCUAUAACAAGCAACAAUCGUGCCGCAAUUAGAUAAACAUCUAGCUUUACUUUCUUGUAAGCUAGCUAAUAAUCUAACGAAAAUUCGGCAGCACUUCCCCUAUUUUCCUUACUUCGUCCCAAUCCGACAACAACCCAAAUUAUCCACAGCAAUACCAAUAACACAUAUAACCCAACGAAUCAUAUUAAACAGCCCCCUCCCCAAAACAGUUCUGUCUCGGCAACCAUAGUAGCGAAGCAACGACACACCGAGCGAUAACUCAUUUUAUAAUUCGCAACACAUCUACCUUAUCGUAUUCAUCCUUUGGAGUAUAUACUCAUAAUCACAUUCAACAUAUACAUAAUGCCAAAACAGAAUUUUCCUUCAGUUUGCUUUAAUCAAAACAACCCAAGCACCAACAUGACACCACUAAUAAUCCAAUUCUGGUUUCCGUUCAUACCUAGCACAUUCAAUAACUAAAACAAACUUCCUAAGCUACUGGUCACGCCCCCUUCUUAAAAUUAAUGGAUAAUUAACAAAGGUAUUCUAAAGAAUUAACACACCAAACAAGGAGAUUACUAACCAAAUUAUUUGCAGCUGCUGGCCAAGAGUUGAAGGGUUGGUUUCUCCAUUUCCAUGGCUGCCUAAGAAAAGUGGUGAAGAAGAAGAUGAUAUGCAGCAAUGCAUUUCACCACUUUAUUUAGCAUGGAGUGGAUUUAUCCACCUCAUUUAAUAGUAUGAAGUGGAGGCAGCCCCCCUC
rnacentral:lncRNA from 1 species